rnacentral:misc_RNA from 1 species
CGCAGCUAACUGCGAUAAGCAAUGCGAAUUGCAGAAUCCGCGAGUCAUCAGAUUUUCGAACGCAACCGGCGUGUGGGUUAAUUACCUGCAGCAAGUUUGCUUCAGUCUUUUUGAUUAUUACACAUCAAAAUGCGAUUGAACUUCGGUUCUCUCGUCAAACGUGAAUACGACGUAUUCCAACCCAGUGAAGCAGUCACGUUCACGUGAUUUCGCUGGCUCUUGGACUAUGAACAGUAUCGAGACGCUAG